GGAAAAGCGGGAUGUCACAAAGGUCCCACUGUGACCCUCAGGAACCACCGCCGUGCCAACAGAAUUUGUGGGAAUCGGCGUCCAUCCCGCAGUGUCCGGCAGAGAUCCCGCUACGUUUUUCCUCCUCCUCAUCAUCCUUCAUUCCAGGAAAUGGAGAAAAGACCUCCGAGACAGCCCAAGGUGGCUUUCGAGGAGGUGGUGGUGGUGGCUCCUGAGGAGAGCAGCUCCUCCGAGGAGCCCACCACGGUGACCGUGGUGGAGCAGCUGCAGCUCCGUGAGUGGUGGGAGCGGGCAGCAAAGGGGACGCAGCUCCCGCUCCUUCCUCCGGCAUUCCCUCCUUCCUCUCCCGUCUUUGCCAGAUUCCAGAUGGGUUCCUGAUUACGCGGAAAACACCGUGGACUUCAUCCAGGCCUUCGCCAGCAGCCCCAGCAAGUUCCAGGAGAAGGAGCAGAAGAUGGAGUUCCUCCACAGCAUCUGCACCCUGUGCAGAGAUUCCAAGCUCCACGACUUCUCCGAGGAGCUGAAGGAUUUCUGCGGCAGGUUCAAGCUGGCAGAGACGGUUCAGCUGCUGCUGAAUUUGGAGCCCAGACACGAGAUCUGCGACGGGGUGCAGCGGCUCGCCAUGCUGGCCUUGGCCGAACUCAGCACCAUCGGGAUAACGCUGGAGACCAGAAAAGUUUUAAGGCUCUGCUUCAACAGCGUCUUCUUCCUUCGUCCGCUCGGGGAAAUGUCGCCCGUGGAAGCGACGCUCUGUACUCAGACCCUGCGCUCCGUGGACACCAUGCUGGAGGUGAUGGUGCUCAGCUGUGCUGCCCCCAGAAUCAGCGGGAUGCUGCAGGACAUGCUGGAGAUUCUCCUGGAGUACCUCUUCUCUGACUUCACGGUGACGCAGGAGAGGGUCCUGGGCAGGAUUAGGGCGCUGAGCCAUUUGCUGGCCAAAUUUUCCACCGAGAAGGUAAAGCCACCCUCCAGCCAGGCCGUGCCUGCUACACCCCCAGCCCCAAAAAUGCCUUCAGACCCCACCCGAGCCCUCCUCCUCUUCCUCCUGCCUCCCCCUCAGGGCGAUGAAGAGGAGAACGACGGCGCUGCCAGCGGGCAGAUCCAGAUCCCAGUGCUGGGGAAGCUGCUGGGCCAUCUGUUCUUCAGGUUGUACAGGCCGGAAAACAGAAUCACAGCGCUGGUGGAUAUUCUGUGCUGCCUCAUGACGUUCAUCUCUGCGCAGAAAUGUAGGAGAAACCGUCCCACAUCAUCGCAUAAAUCUGCUU
rnacentral:lncRNA from 1 species